GACGUAGGGCGCGAGCGUUGUCCGGAUUUAUUGGGCGUAAAGAGCUCGUAGGCGGCUUGUCGCGUCGACUGUGAAAACCCGUGGCUCAACCAUGUGGUCUGCAGUCGAUACGGGCAGGCUAGAAUUCGGUAGGGGAGACUGGAAUUCCUGGUGUAGCGGUGAAAUGCGUAGAUAUCAACUGGAAUGCCGAUGGGGAAGCCGUCCGGCUGGGCCUGUCCUGACGCUGAGGCACGAAAGCGUGGGGAGCAAACAGG
rnacentral:rRNA from 1 species